rnacentral:sRNA from 1 species
ACACGGGAAGGAGGUGGUCCGGAGAAUGAGUUCUUCCAGGACGAGUGAGGUGGCUGCCCGCUAGCAGCCCCAGCAGGACGACGGGGCAGGAGUGCCCCUGAUGCUGCUGGCGAAUUCCAAGCAGCUGCCCGACCCGCAGGUGACCCGGCUCCGUCCGCCGGGUGCGGCUCUCCACGAGAGCCACACCUGCGGGUCGCUGCAC